GACGAACGCUGGCGGCGUGCUUAACACAUGCAAGUCGAACGGAAAGGCCCUGCUUGCAGGGUACUCGAGUGGCGAACGGGUGAGUAACACGUGGGUGAUCUGCCCUGCACUUCGGGAUAAGCCUGGUAAACUGGGUCUAAUACCGGAUAGGAGCCAUUUUUAGUGUGAUGGUUGGAAAGUUUUUUCGGUGUAGGAUGAGCUCGCGGCCUAUCAGCUUGUUGGUGGGGUAAUGGCCUACCAAGGCGGCGACGGGUAGCCGGCCUGAGAGGGUGGACGGCCACAUUGGGACUGAGAUACGGCCCAGACUCCUACGGGAGGCAGCAGUGGAGAAUAUUGCACAAUGGGCGCAAGCCUGAUGCAGCGACGCCGCGUGGGGGAUGACGGCCUUCGGGUUGUAAACUCCUUUCGCUAGGGACGAAGCUGUUGUGACGGUACCUAGAUAAGAAGCCCCGGCUAACUACGUG
rnacentral:rRNA from 1 species